UCUGAACUGACUUCGUACGAAAGAUGUUGACAGCUUGAUUUUAUAAAUAAUUCACGGUAGAUAACGAAAAGAAUGGACUCAAGAGACAGGUUAGAAGAAACAUCUGUCAAAAGCGAUUUGUUGCGUUGGUGCGGUACAAGGAUGGAAGGGAAAUAGACACAUACAGAUUCAAUGCAUAUAACAAAGAUGAAGAUGUGGUGAUCACACAAGGAUAGCAUUAUACUACUCCCCUUGACGUAGAAAACGACAACAGAUAGCUUCAUGUCUAGUCACAGCUUUCAGUUUGAGUAUUGGCAAAUUACACCCAAUUACUGGAAACAAUAAAAUACUUAAUUCUAACAAAGAAUGUAGGC